UAGUUAUUUUCUUUAAACCUAAAGAAUUUGGCGGUAUUUUAGUCUAUUUAGAGGAAUUUGCCCUGUAAUCGAUAAUCCUCGUUUUAUCUUGCUUAAUUUAUUUAGUAUGUAUAUCGCUGUUAUAAGUUUAUUUUAUUAGAAUAAAAAUUUACUUUAUUUAUUAUUUUAAUAUAUUUCAAGUCAAGGUGCAGCUUAUAAUUAAGGAUUUAGGUGAAUUACAAUAUUAUUUUAAUAAACGAAUUUAAAUUUUAAAAUUUUAAUGAAGGUGGAUUUAAUGGUAAUUUUAAUUAUAAUGUUAUUUUGAUUUUAGCUCUAGAAUAAGUACACAUCGCCCGGUCGCUCUA
rnacentral:rRNA from 1 species